rnacentral:rRNA from 1 species
UACGUAGGGGGCGAGCGUUGUCCGGAAUCAUUGGGAGUAAAGCGCGUGUAGGCGGCCCGGUAAGUCCGCUGUGAAAGUCCAGGGCUCAACCCUGGGAUGCCGGUGGAUACUGUCGGGCUCGAGUCCGGAAGAGGCGAGUGGAAUUCCUGGUGUAGCGGUGAAAUGCGCAGAUAUCAGGAGGAACACCAAUGGCGAAGGCAGCUCGCUGGGACGUGACUGACGCUGAGACGCGAAAGCGUGGAGAGCAAACAGG